UAACACGUGAGUGACCUGCCUUUUAGACUGGAACAACUUACCGAAAGGUGAGCUAAUGCCGGGUGAGUUAUAUAAGUGCAUGUUUAUAUAGGAAAAGUUGGGGAGACCUGACGCUGAAAGAUGGACUCGCGUCCCAUUAGCUAGUUGGUAGGGUAAUGGCCUACCAAGGCGACGACGGGUAGCCGGCCUGAGAGGGUGGCCGGCCACACUGGGACUGAGACACGGCCCAGACUCCUACGGGAGGCAGCAGUGGGGAAUUUUGCGCAAUGCUCGUAAGAGUGACGCAGCGACGCCGCGUGAAUGACGAAGGCCUUCGGGUCGUAAAGUUCUUUCGACAGGGAAGAAAAUGCCUAUAAGUAACUGUGUAUGUAUUGACGGUACCUGUAUAAGCAGCCCCGGCUAACUCCGUGCCAGCAGCCGCGGUAAUACGGAGGGGGCGAGCGUUGUUCGGAGUGACUGGGCGUAAAGAGCACGUAGGCGGUGUUGUAAGUCAUUAGUCAAAGACUAGAGCUCAACUUUAGUAAGGCUAGUGAUACUAUAAUACUAGAGUAUCAGAGAGGAUUGCAGAAUUCCUGGUGUAGCGGUGAGAUGCGUAGAUAUCAGGAGGAAUACCGUUAGCGAAGGCGGCAAUCUGGCUGGAAACUGACGCUGAGGUGCGAAAGCGUGGGUAGCAAACAGGAUUAGAUACCCUGGUAGUCCACGCUGUAAACGAUGGAUGCUAGGUGU
rnacentral:rRNA from 1 species